rnacentral:lncRNA from 1 species
AGCCCCGCGCUCUACCAGGCAGAGCGCGUGUGGCCGCCGAGCACAUGGACCCACUGGUCAAGCGGGCUCGGCAAGGCCAGGAUGAAGAGAAGCUACGAACUUAGCAUUCCCAGAGCCCCCCGAGUGGAUAUCCGCGUGGAAAGGAUGUUGGCAGCCCCGGUGACCUCGGAGUCACGGCUGGAUCCACCCUCUUGUCUGAUUUUCUUAACUCUACUACGGUAAGAAGAUGCCCUCCAUCAGCAGGCCGUGUCUGCUGGGACCUCUCUGGAGACUUCCUGAACCCUGUGGAUUUACAGUAAGAUGCAGUUUCCUGGGGAGUAAUUCUGGUGGAUACAAAUUCCGGAGUAUUACACCUGGCUUGCCUGGAGAUGUUACAAGUAGCUGGAUGGAUUCUUCAGCCUGGAUGCCCACUGAAAACAAGGACCGAAACUAAGAGGAUUGUAUCUCUACCCUUGACUCAAUGAGAAUGUUUGUUGUCAUCUCUCGGGCUACCUGGAGCUCCCUCUAAAAUAGAGCCGAGUUCUGUCACCACAGACAUUGGCAGUGGCACUUGCAUGCCCCUGGCAAGCAGUCUAUCCUGAGGUGGAGGAAGUUGCCCUUGAGUUCUGGCUGGUAACCAGCACAGGGGCUGGGACACUGCCUGAUUGAGGUGGCCAUUGAGAAUUCAAGUGUACCUCUUGGUCCCUGAUGCAGAAAUGAAGUCCCCAGCAUGCUCAAGAAGAGCUUCCUUGGAGGAUGAGAGGCAUGGGAAUCUAAGUAUACCCUUUAAGCGUUCCAGAAGGAUUUUGAGAUCCUUUCCUAAAUCAAAGGUGGAAUAUUUGGGGAUUUGGAAAAUUGAGCCAGUCUCUCAGAAGAACCAGUUGUGUUACUUUGCUGUGAGAUGCCUGCCCUAAGAGAGGAGCAGAAGGUCGGAACGGGUCCUCUAAUGUGAUAAUUAGAUGUGAAGCGUUGACUUAAGAGAUGCCAAGUAACUCAGCAGAUGUCACACAGACGAUAAAUAGCAAAGAUGGAAGUCUUCAUGCCGGAGGCAAUCCUAUAAGACAGCUGAGUUCUGCAGAGCUGGAGACAGACUUGCUCAGGUGAUAGAUCCAGCCAUGAUACUGACCCUAAGAGAAUGAGACGCUCUGCAGAAGACAGAAGAUUCCUGAAACUGGGAAAGGUGCCUAGAAAUCCUGAUAAGAGUGAAGAAGGGUACCUGGAGGCACAGCAGCCAUGUUGAACCUAUGAGGUGAUGAAAAACCAUGCAACUAGAAACCAGAAUGGAAGAAAAGAAGAAGCUGGAUCCUUGACUGAAUUGUCGAUGGGGGAUAGUCCAUCAUCCCAGGGCUAAGACCACCUCCAGAUUUCUUGUUUGGUGAAACAAGUCCUGAUUGUUUACAUUCCCUCGUGUUGAGCUGUCUCUUGCUUGUAGCUGAAAGCAUUUCUAAUAGAUAUUCAGAUUAUCAGCCUUAGCUCCAAGCUAGAAUACUCUAUGGGACCUUAGCUUCUCCAUGAAUUCCUUUGCUCAUCUGUGUAAUGCUCAAUAAAUGUAAAUUGAACCCUGAAUGAGGGACAAUGACA